AUUGAACGCUGGCGGCAUGCCUUACACAUGCAAGUCGAGCGGCAGCGCGGGGGCAACCCUGGCGGCGAGCGGCGAACGGGUGAGUAAUGCAUCGGAACGUGUCCUUUUGUGGGGGAUAACCAGUCGAAAGACUGGCUAAUACCGCAUGAGCUCGAGAGAGGAAAGCAGGGGACCGCAAGGCCUUGCGCGAGAGGAGCGGCCGAUGCCCGAUUAGCNGUUGGUGAGGUAACGGCUCACCAAGGCGACGAUCGGUAGCUGGUU
rnacentral:rRNA from 1 species